GACGAACGCUGGCGGCGUGCCUAAUACAUGCAAGUUGAGCGCUGAAGGUUGGUACUUGUACCUACUGGAUGAGCAGCGAACGGGUGAGUAACGCGUGGGGAAUCUGCCUUUGAGCAGGGGACAACAUUUGGAAACGAAUGCUAAUACCGCAUAAAAACUUUAAACACAAGUUUUAAGUUUGAAAGAUGCAAUUGCAUCACUCAAAGAUGAUCCCGCGUUGUAUUAGCUAGUUGGUGAGGUAAAGGCUCACCAAGGCGAUGAUACAUAGCCGACCUGAGAGGGUGGUCGCCCCCAUUGGACCGGGGACACGGCCCAACUCCUACGGGAGGCAGCAGUAGGGAAUCUUCGGCCAUGGACGAAAGUCUGACCGAGCAACGCCGCGUGAGUGAAGAAGGUUUUCGGAUCGUAAAACUCUGUUGGUAGAGAAGAACGUUGGUGAGAGUGGAAAGCUCAUCAAGUGACGGUAACUACCCAGAAAGGGACGGCUAACUACGUG
rnacentral:rRNA from 1 species